GUUGACCUCGGAUCAGGUAGGAAUACCCGCUGAACUUAAGCAUAUCAAUAAGGCAGGAGGAA
rnacentral:rRNA from 1 species